UGCUUGAUCUUCUGUAGAGGGUACGGCCCCUUUUUUUGGUAACAAAUGUUGACCGACCCAGCUUUCAUAGCUCCUAUCCCACUACCUUACCAGCUACUUCCUACCAGCACCGAUACUGGGUAACUCUACGGGGUAAGACCCUUUUCAAAGAUUUCCCAAAAAUACAUAUUCUACACAAAAAGAAAGUUACUAUAGCAAAAUAUACAGCAAUUAACCAGAUAAUCAACCCCAAAAACUGCCCUCUUAUGAUCUUCAAUCCUCAAGAUCAUACAAAUUACUCAUCAAGCUAGCCCCUUUACACUUAAUCAAACACAUAGAACACAAGAUCUUUAAUAAUACACAAUU